rnacentral:rRNA from 1 species
CCUACGGGAGGCAGCAGUGAGGAAUAUUGGUCAAUGGGCGAGAGCCUGAACCAGCCAAGUCGCGUGAGGGAGUACUGCCCUAUGGGUUGUAAACCUCUUUUGUCGGGGAGCAAAAGCCGGACGUGUCCGGCUGUGAGAGUACCCGAAGAAAAAGCAUCGGCUAACUCCGUGCCAGCAGCCGCGGUAAUACGGGGGAUGCGAGCGUUAUCCGGAUUUAUUGGGGUUAAAGGGUGCGCAGGCGGAUUUUUAAGUCAGCGGUCAAAUCGUGGGGCUCAACCCCAUCCAGCCGUUGAAACUGGGGAUCUAGAGUGUGCGAGAGGUAUGCGGAAUGCGUGGUGUAGCGGUGAAAUGCAUAGAUAUCACGCAGAACCCCGAUUGCGAAGGCAGCAUACCGGUGCACAACUGACGCUCAGGCACGAAAGCGUGGGUAUCGAACAGGAUUAGAUACCCCAGUAGUC